UUUCAUGGGAUGUAGCUCGAAAACGGCUGGGAAUAGAAAAAAAUGAUUUAGGUACAACUUGUAGAUAAUUUUAUGGCCUUUCAACUUUUCCUUGAAAGUUUUUCUCUAACAUGUACCGUUUUUGAGAUUUAAGCGAAAAAUGAAAAAAUGGACCCUUUCCCCCCCUCCCCCCACUCCGGGGCUCCUCCUAGUGUCCCGGGGUUUUAGUAUGUUUAUUACCUAGGGACUCUUGACAUGUUUCCGAAGAAACAUCUUACGUUACUAACUCACGCACUCUAGACCCCCCUUGGAGGGACUCAUUCAAUGGACUAUAUCUAGAUUGCUCUGAAACUUUGUACUUACAAUAGGAUAAGGUAUAUCUAUGCCUGUAAUUAGUUUAUGUAGCUUCAGAUACCAUUGUUA